rnacentral:rRNA from 1 species
AUUGAACGCUGGCGGCAGGCCUAACACAUGCAAGUCGAACGAGUGGCGGACGGGUGAGUAAUGUCUGGGAAACUGCCUGAUGGAGGGGGAUAACUACUGGAAACGGUAGCUAAUACCGCAUACCAUCGGAUGUGCCCAGAUGGGAUUAGCUAGUAGGUGGGGUAACGGCUCCCCUAGGCGACGAUCCCUAGCUGGUCUGAGAGGAUGACCAGCCACACUGGAACUGAUGCACGGUCCAGACUCCGACGGGAGGCAGCGGUGGAGAAUAGUGCACAAUGGGCGCAAGUCUGAUGCAGCCAUGCGGCGUGUAUGAAGAAGGCCUUCGGGUUGUAAAGUACUUUCAGCGGGGAGGCGUUACCCGCAGAAGAAGCACCGGCUAACUCCGUGCCAGCAGCCGCGGUAAUUC